rnacentral:rRNA from 1 species
GCGUUAUCGGAUUAUUGGGCGUAAGCGCGCGUAGGCGGUUUUUUAAGUCUGAUGUGAAAGCCCACGGCUCAACCGUGGAGGGUCAUUGGAAACUGGAAAACUUGAGUGCAGAAGAGGAAAGUGGAAUUCCAUGUGUAGCGGUGAAAUGCGCAGAGAUAUGGAGGAACACCAGUGGCGAAGGCGACUUUCUGGUCUGUAACUGACGCUGAUGUGCGAAAGCGUGGGGAUCAAACAGGAUUAGAUACCCCAGUAGU